rfam:Canis lupus familiaris chromosome 13, whole genome shotgun sequence.
GCCUGGGUGGCUCAGUGGUUGAGUGCCUGCCUUUGGCCCAGGGCAUGAUCCUGAGGUCCUGGGAUCAAGUCCCACAUCAGGCU